rnacentral:lncRNA from 1 species
GGAUGUGAACACCUUCAUCGUGGAGCUCCUGAUUAUGGUGUACAAUGGAAGACCUCUCGUGCCAAGAGCAUCAUCGGCGUGAUUCCCUGCUUUCCUUACAGCAAAUGGUGCAAAUUGAGGAAGAGGCUCAAUCAUCUCUAAAUUAUUUGAUUCCAUGAUAUGCAAAGCUGAUCCCAGAUUACAGGAAUGCAGUCAUCGUGGCCAAGUCUCCAGCCUCAGCCAAGAGGCACAUUCCCCGAGGAGCCUGGUGGAGACCCUGGAGACAGCCUUCAUCUCUGAUACCCCCGCUUCCCUGUCUACUAUCUCCAGUUUUUCCAUCCAACAGGAGAUGGACCUAAUGUCAGAAAGCCAGGUCAUGGUCACAGGUGCUGAAAUGGAGGACCAAGGCCACCAUGUCCCAGACUUGACAGAAAACCCAGAGCCCAUGGAGGAAGAGGCUGAAGCUGCAGGGCCACCUCCGGUGCUUGGGGACACUUCAGCUCAAAUUCCACCACCUCCACCACCUGAGAGAGAGCUGGACCUGGAAAGGCCUGCAAUGGCAGAUCCUGGCCAAGAACUCCUGCUGGACCCUCAGGCAGCACCUCUUACCAAGACCAAUCCAGAGCCUCCAUUCCUUGCCCCU